UGGCAAGAUCAUUAACUGUACAGAGGGGGUGUGCUUUUCAUCAGUGCUUAAAAGGUCUAUUUUGACCUGAGAAGGUCAGGUUGGCUUUCUCAAAUGCCUGAAAAUGAAUAACUCACACCUGGAAUCUAAGUGGCAUUGUGAGCUGAAGGUAGCUAAGGAGUUACACCGGAGAAUAGUUUCAGUGGGAAUGUUAGAGUUAUCCAGAAGUACACUGAGACAGAGUGUUCUCUGGUUUAUUGUGCACCACUUUAUAACUACAGACUAAAGGAAGUCUGAAGGAAACCACUACCUGAAUAGUUAGCAAGUUUGCCACUUUUUCUGUGCCUUUUACAAUUGAGUGGCAUAUCAAGCUUUCUCUGUAUUGAAGUAUGGUGAGAAGGAAGCUCCAUCUAUUGGAUUUCUGGCUGUCAAAGAACACUUAGGCACAGAGCAUUCUAACCCCGAUACUGUCAACGGAAAGGAAUGCAGGGAUAACCAUAGAUCAUGUGCACACGCAAAAAUGGCAGAGUUACAAAUGUGUAAUGAGAUUCCAGUAAGAAUCUAGCUAAUUAGAUGACAGUUGCUAUUAAUUUUCCAUGUUACUGGAAACGGCACAAGACCCUAUUUUUGUAAUAAUGACUUGGAAAACUGUCACCACGUGAUCAAAUUUCAACACAAUGUCAAAAUGUGUUCCAUCUCGUAUGCAGUGCCAUUAGCUUGGCUAAAGUCAGGAGCUCUCUGAAGAAAGAGUUCAGCAGUAAUUUUUGGAAAACUUUGAGCCUCUCUUAGAAGUACAUUGGCAGGUGGAUGAAAAGAUUCUUAAGAAUUUGGACUUUAAGAAAGGAAAAAAGGAACAUUUCAACCCUUCUCCCCCCGAACUUUAAAAAAUAAUGAUGACAGGGCCCUGGAAAGUAAAUGAAAUGUAUUAAAUGACCAUUGCUCUCAAAUAAAGUCAAGAAUUAAGUACAGCUAUAACCAAGGUAAAAAAUGUACUUAAGAUAAAUGAAAAGAAAAGUAGUCCACUCCUCUGAUUAAACUCUGCUGAGAAGUAUUAUAUUUUACUUAAUGAAAGUAUUUAUAAUGCGUCCUUCAAACAAAGGGCAGAACUAUACAUAGUUGAAACCUAAAAUGAAAAAUAAAAUUAAAGCAACAUAAAACAAAAUAGCAAGAUUAAGUUACAAAUAAAAGCAGUUGCAACAAAAAUUCAAGCGCUAGCAUAUCUGGCCCCUUCCCAAGAACCUGGGCAAAGAGAUGCAGCUACUGCUGCUGGCAAAGUGAUAUUAAUUUUGUGGUUAGGCACACCUCAAAAGGUUGAUAUUUCCCAAGCACUUCCUGGUGGUAUGGAUAUUACAACACUGUGCAGACAGUGUUUCUGCAAAAAUGCAAGCAUUUCUCCCCAAGCAAGUCCUUCAGCCUCUGUGCCACAUGCCCACACGUCCUGUCAAAUUAGGUUUGCAUUUUCUUUCUGCAACUUUUGAUGUCAGUUGAACAGAAACAAGCUUGAAGCUUUUUUCCUUUCAUUUAUCAGAAUGCCCUAGCCCCUAGCCCCAUCCAUCUGAAUUUUUGCAGGUUCCUUCCUGGGGCACAUCUACAGUGUAUGCCAUUUUCUUUCUUUCUUUCUUUCUUUCUUUCUUUCUUUCUUUCUUUCUUUAUCUUUCUUUUUUAAAUGUUGACCACAAAAUCCCAGGGACGGGUGCAAAUGACAUUUAGUUCUGUGCCACCAAAAUCACAUUUAAAAGUGCCUAGUCCCUAGUAUAAACCCUAUUUGUUGGUAGAAUGGCAAGUUUCUUACCUAGUGGUACAUCUUGUGUGUCUUACAAAUUACUUAUAAAACAAAAUGAUAGUUUAAGUGAAUCCUUUUUUAAGCAGUCCCAAACUAGACAUGCUGCCCUUGAAGAAAAGCCACUGCAGCAAUCCUUCUGGAAAUUGCCAGGAUUUUCAGAGGCCACCAUGCCUGCAUCCCCCCCUCCCAAUUUGGACAAAACAACAACAACCCAGACCUUUUCAGAGGUUCAUUGGAGUCAGGCUGAGAUAGCUGUCAUACAGAUAGCUGCAGGUUGGGUUGCACAGCUCAAGCUAUUUGGGGCUUUCAGGGGCAGGGCAUCAGACAGGAAGCAGAGGCAAGAGUGAGCAAGAAGAAUGGGAGACUCAAGGCAGGACCUACUGGAUUCUUCAUUCCACCAGAUCUCUCCUCUUUCUGUUCCCCAGAAGCAGCAAUGUACUGUAUAGGAUGGAAUCUUCCAGCUGAACAACUGCUGAUCUAGUUCAUCUGAUUUUUGUGUGUUGCUUUUCCUUUGUGAGCAGCUUCCCUUCCAUUUAGCUAUUAAGUGGAGGAUCCAAUCCUGCACAGUACUGGCCAUGGCUCUUUCACAAGUGGAUUUCCUGCAUGCAAGCACUUCCAUUGCAUACCGGGAAGCUGAUCAUGAAGGAUGAACAACUUGCACUACACAGAAUCAUAUUCUCCUGCUAAGCAGGAGGAUCUGAUCCUGCAUGGGGCUGGGGCACCCCCACCCAGCCACAUUUUUAAACCCUACUUUAACUAUACUGUUAUGUUAUAGGAUUUUAACAGCUCUUAGACCAACAUCCAGAUUGCUUUGGGGGGAAAUCUGGGGCAGGACAGGUGCCCUGCAGGGCAGCACAGGGCAGAUCAACCUGAUCCAGGGACCACAGAUCAGAGCAGAUCAGGGGGUCCAUGCAGAGCCCUAAUAAGGGCCAUUUGAUUAGAUGAUGAAAGAGGAGUCGGCACACUAAUGUAGGAUACGUAAGACUGCAAUUAGGCAUAACAGCUAUAUGGAGCUUCCAGAAUGAGACAGAAUGCCACAGAAUACCAGUUCCUAGGGAGCAACAAUGAGUGGUCUAUUACCUUCAAGCCCUAUUUGUGAGAUUUCUGCAUGGCACCUUGUACAGUGGUACCUCGCAAGACGAAUGCCUCUCAAGACGAAAAACUCGCAAGACGCAAGAGUUUUUCGUUUUUUGAGUUGCUUCGCGAGACGAAUUUCCCUAUGGGCUUGCUUCGCAAGACGGAAACGUCUUGCAAGUUUGUUUCCUUUUUCUUAAAACCGUUACAGUAAUACAGGGUGCAUUGCUUGAAGAGGAGCAACUCAUAGCACGCGGUGUGGUAGCCUUUUUUGAGGUUUUUGAAGAUUUUUUUGAAAAAAUUGAAACCGUGCUUCGCAAGACGAAAAAACUCGCAGAACGAAUUAAUUUCGUCUUGCGAGGCACCACUGUACUGGACUUAGAUGGGUGGGCUAUUGGUCUGAUCCAGUAGGUCUCAUCAUCUGUUCAGAACUGAGCCAUUACUGCAGAAGAAAAAGACAAUAUUUCAUUUUCUGUAUGUGUGGUGUGUGUUUUUAGCAGUCAAAUCCAUCCUAUUCUUUUCGCCCCUUGUGUGUCAUUUAUUUGAAUAUCCUUUAGCUAUGCCAUUGCUUCAGAGUUGCUUUGUUUCUCUCUCUCUCUCUCUCUCUCUCUUUUAAUCAGACUGCAAUUCCAAGGUGGAUGCAACUUUUAAUCAGCGUAUUUGUUUAAAGUGCAUUGCCUUGACCAGAACAUGUCUUUCCCACCCCCCACUGUAUUAUUUCAUCUGGGAUAUGGCUGUCAUUUUAUCAUGUUUAUUUGCUUUAGGCGUGCCUGCCUGAACCACAGGCAGUUUCUGCAAUGUGCCUAGAGGCGCAUUCUCAAAUCCCCACGUCCCUUUUGCUGAGUCUUGAAACGAGCUGCAUCGCUGGGUGUUUAUACAUAUCACCGAGAUGGCACCAGGAGCUGAAAUCAUGCCCUUAGGGUUGAGUUCUAUUUGGAGGUGCCAAAAUGGUUUCUCUGCUCUCACUCAGCAGCGUGACACGCGGUCACUCAUUUCAUGAGCUGCAAAUGAAGGCAUUGAAGUGACUUUGGUAUAGCAGACGGUCCAGGCAGCAUUUUUUGGCAACCGUAUGUGUCAUAACGCCUUAAAGAAUAGAGGGGCUGGGAGGUUCGGAAAUUCACAAAGAGUGACACCUAAGAGCAUGCUAAUGCUUUCGCCAUCCUGCUGCAUAUUGUCUUGUCGGCUGAGUCCAGGAAAUGAACGUGUAACUCAAACCUACCCUUGUAGCUCUCCGACUUAUUAAAGCAGAAAUCUGAAAUAUUUUUUAUUUAUUUUUCUGAAUCUAGGGUGGUAUUAUUAAUAAUAUUCCAACCAAUGCCUCUGGCCAUAUGCUUUGACCUUUCAGAAGUCCUUUGUGAAGCUCGCUCCUGAAACCACUUAUUCCAGCAGGGGACUCAUUGAAGUCAACAGAGCUCCUGUCAGCAUACAUGCUUGGGGCACUAGAGCUUUAUUAUCUAAUCAAUGUCACUGCAGAUAUUCAUACCAGUUGAAACCAACCGGGGAUCACAAACUUUUUAUAUUACGAUUCCAGAAUAAAGUUCUUUAUUGAACAGUUUGGAGUGAAAUGAGCAUGGAUAACAAGCAUGGAUGUUUCUGAAAGGCUUUAUAAUUUAAAGCAGGUCUGGGGAACCAGCAGCCCUCCCGUCAUUGUUGGACUCUUAAUCUCAGGAUCGUAACUUCGAGCCCCAUGCUGGGCAAAAAAAAUUCCUGCAUUGCAGGAGGUUGGACUCCAAGUCCCAUCAACACCCGCCAGCAAGGCCAACAUGAUCAGAAAUUAUGGGAGCUGGAGUCCAGCAACAUCUGAAGGGCCACAGAAUUCCCACCCCUGAUUUAAAAAGACUAGGAAAAUGUCCAUUCCCAUUCUGGGUAGGUGGGUGGCCUAAGAAAGAGAAUCUCUCAGUCACCUUAUCUGCAAUGCUAAGCCAAUACCCCCAAUUUAUUUAUUUUUAAAAUUUGCCCCCCAAGAAAGUGUGGAGAGAUAUUCAGCCCAGCUUGAAAAUAAAUCCAGAUCUAUGAUAUAUCAAAAUAUCAACCACUCAAACUUAUCCAAUUUUCAUCACUUGUCAGAGCUCUCUUUUGUCAGUGGAAAUAGAGGCUUGCCACUGAGAACUCAACUGGCAAACAUAUUUGGGGAGAGAGGAGUAAAAUGAACAAGGGCAAAUCAGCAAACUUAUUUGUGAAAGAAACGAGAAGACAUAUCUUCAGUGGACGGCUGACAUUUCUCAUAGGAGGGUAAAUGCAGGAGGGAGUGAUCCCAUUUAUACAACCAGCUCUAGAUUCCAUUUCAUGCUUUACAAAUAUACAGUAUAGGGUGCUUCCUCCUUUUGUGUUCUCUCAGAGACCGAACAUGCUCCCCAGGGCAACCCUCACCAUUCCUUGUCAUUCAGAGAACACAGCCAGCUGCUGAAGCUAGGGCUCCCAUUGCACUGUUACCAAGCCACCAGAUCAGACUGGAAAAACAUGUGUUAGUGCCCUGUAUAUUAUCUUUGGAGCUCACGGGUGCCACACUAGCACAGCAACAUUUGCUUUUCAAAAUGCCAUUCAAAGUUGUCACUGGUACACAUCAGGACACCACAAGAAAAUGACUUUCAAUAGGGAGACUGAAAAGGCACAUUCUUAUGAAGGUAAUCAACUUUUUGUGGUGGCGAUGGUGGGGUGUUUCUUUUCAUAUUAUUUUACUCAGUAAGGUUUUGGAAUGUUUAUCCUUUUUCCACCCCCCUUUCUUCCUAAGGCUGUCUCAUCCAAAUGUUUUUGUAACUUCAUGAACGUGUCAAAGGUCCUCUGCGGGAAUUCUGUGGGAAAUAUGCGGAAUGACCUGCACAUAAGAAACAAGGAAAACAUCACAGCAUGAGAUACCAUGGAAGUUAAAAUGAAGCAUCUGUAGCUCUGCACAUGGCACUACAGAGAUCUGUAACAGGACAUUCAUAUUCAAAGGACAGCCAGAAUGUUAGGCUCACAUACUGAUUGAGAACCUUGCAUUAUUAUAAUCAGCAUGUAGAAUGUGGAUCAGUAUUUCUAAAUGAGGAGUGUUGAUACAAAAGAGGGGUU
rnacentral:lncRNA from 1 species